UUGUCAGUUUCCUUCAGUUUAAAAUACUCAGUAUGCCAAGGUGCCAUAUUUUGGGAUAUUGUGUUCUGAACCUUGACAGCUGCUGCUUUGUGGUAACAAUUGAGCAUCUCCCUCAUAUUAAGGGUAGGCCCACAGGAUCCAGGGUUUAAAGGGCGUUGUCAGUGUUGCUGAAGAGGCUUUGCAGGUGAUGUGGUCUCCAAGCCAGCCCUUCCUUCCUCACCCCCGCCCUUGUGUUAGCCUAUCAGUUGAACAGGUGAAUAGGCCGGUAUUGAACAUCAGUCCUGCAAGGAAGAAGGGCGCAUUCCAUAUUUGGGGUCUCUGGCCCCAUUUCCUGAGCCUGUUGCAUGUUGAGGUUGUGUUUGUUUUCCUCAAACUUGACACCUUUGUUUGAGAUGCUACCUCUUCAUUGUCACCUGCCAAGUCAUUCUGGCUGCCGCUGCCAUGUCCAGGGUGGAAUUGCUCAGCUGGCAGGUCCUCUCCCUGUUAGAGCAUGUUCUGGAACUUUGUAGGUUUUCACUGUGUCUCCAAGUCCUACUACCUGAUACCCUUUGAUAUUUUGGUGAUUCCAAGUCGUAUGGGCACAAUUCCUAGCGUAGACCAAAUGCUCAAAAAAUGAUGAACCGAUUAAAUAAAUGGCCGUAAAUAAAUAUCUUCCUUGGCUUGCAAGUAAGUUGCUACCUUGAUGCCAAUUCUCUGCUGCCUCUUUCCUUAAAAGUGUGUCUUAUUCUGCUACUGUAUUAAAGGUAGUAUAACAUUAGAGGCAGAAAGAUUUGGUUUUGAAUGCCAGGUCUGUCACUCCUAGCCAUAUAACCUUAAAACAACAUACUUUCCCACACUUUGGUUUUCUCAUUUGUGAGAUGAGAUGAACAAUGGACCUCUGUUUAAGGUGAUUGUUAAAAUUAGAUGUUUGUAGCACACUUAGCACACUGUGCCUGGUCCACAGUAAAGUGCUUAAUAAAUGGUAGUCAUGA
rnacentral:lncRNA from 1 species